UACGUAGGGUGCUAGCGUUGUCCGGAUUUAUUGGGCGUAAAGCGCACGUAGGCGGAUCGUUAAGUCGGGGGUGAAAUCCUGGAGCUCAACUCCAGAACUGCCUUCGAUACUGGCGAUCUUGAGUCCGGAAGAGGUGAGUGGAACUCCUAGUGUAGAGGUGGAAUUCGUAGAUAUUAGGAAGAACACCAGUGGCGAAGGCGGCUCACUGGUCCGGUACUGACGCUGAGGUGCGAAAGCGUGGGGAGCAAACAGG
rnacentral:rRNA from 1 species